GAUCCCGAAGUAACUAUGAAAACUACAAUUUCCACAAUCAUUUGUACACAUAUACAAGACACCCAAAUAUCAAUAUGAAACCAAUCGGACUGUCAGUGAUUUGAAAGCCUGCAUCCAAACAAAAACAAUUGGUUCGUCAAUCCGUACAUUAUUAUCGUUCUUUUUUCUAUGACGAUAAAUAAACGUAGGUUAUGCUAGAUCGUUUCACUAUACAAAAGCAUCGGGGACGAACGUGAAGAAGCGUGCCGACAAUACGCAUCGAAAUCGUCGAUGCGACGGCAUUAACUCGAACGCUACCUAAAAAUAUUGACAACCGACAGAACUGUUCGUCUAAUAGGGUUAGAUGCAAAAUCUUCGCGUAUGAAUGCUCACCAUCUUCGCGAUAGUCGGGCGUGUAAAUGAGUUUGUCGGCCGUGAGGUUGUCCUAGCAGCUUGAAGGUACCCUGGCCUCGCACGAGGUCACCUGGGUGCCCAGGGACUGCCAAGGACCGUUGCAA